AUCCGCUCCGGCGACGACGGGAGGCGACGGGCUCGCGCGGGGCGGAUCCGUGGCGGUGGCGACUGGAGGUGCCGGGCGCGGUCGAAGACGGGUCGGCACGGGGCGGAUCCGCUCCGGCGACGACCAGAGGCGAUGGGCGCGGCCGGAGACGGGCCAGCCGGAGGUGGAGGAGCAGCGAGGGGCGACACUGGGACGGUGGUGGAGGAGCAGCGACGAGCGCGCCGGCCACUCGCCGGAGCACAUCAGCAUCUCGUCUCUCGUCAAUAUUACUUCCCCAUGUUAAGCUUGACACGGCCUGCCGAAGUUGCAAGUGGUGACUGGUGAGCAAGAGCAAAGUUGCUACCCCGCUUGAAGAGCUCUGACCUGUCACCGGGAGGCCUCAUCCAAAUUGCUACCCAUCAACUUCGUUGGACUCGCCAAGCAGGCGGGGCACCCCUCUCGGAAAAUCUGAGGGUUAUUAGGUCAUUUGAGACCUGAAUUAUAAGCACAGUCAUGUAUUUGUGACAAUUAUUAGAAGGAAAUGGUCGAGAACUUGGAUGUGAGGGUGCCCUGGUGUGGGAGGCGCCGCGGCCUCGGCAGACCAGACGGACUCCAAUGUGGAAGGGAGCAAGAAGGA